rnacentral:rRNA from 1 species
UGAGCAAUCUGCCCUUCACAUCGGAAUAACCAUUGGAAACGAUGGCUAAUACCGAAUAUGACUUCGGAUCGCAUGAUCUGAAGUGGAAAGCUCCGGCGGUGAAGGAUGAGCUCGCGGCCUAUCAGCUUGUUGGUGAGGUAACGGCUCACCAAGGCUUCGACGGGUAGCCGGCCUGAGAGGGCGACCGGUCACACGUGGGACUGAGACACGGCCCAGAUCCGUACGGG